rnacentral:rRNA from 1 species
GGCAUGCCUAACACAUGCAAGUCGAACGGAGUUGUUAUUCAGAAGUUCUUCGGAAUGGAAGGAUAAGAACUUAGUGGCGGACGGGUGAGUAACGCGUGGGUAACCUGCCCUUUUGUGGGGAACAACUUCGAGAGAUCGGAGCUAAUACCGCAUAAUAAUAGAGGAUCGCAUGAUUCUUUAAGGAAAGAUGGCCUCUGAAGAUGCUAUCGCAAAAGGAUGGACCCGCGUCUGAUUAGCUAGUUGGAAGGGUAACGGCCUACCAAGGCAACGAUCAGUAGCCGGCCUGAGAGGGUGAACGGCCACAUUGGGACUGAGACACGGCCCAAACUCCUACGGGAGGCAGCAGUGGGGAAUCUUCCGCAAUGGGCGAAAGCCUGACGGAGCAAUGCCGCGUGAGUGAAGAAGGCCUUCGGGUUGUAAAACUCUGUCCUUAUCGAAGAGAGGUAGGUAUGUGAAUAAUGUACCUAUAGGACGGUAGAUAAGGAGGAAGCCCCGGCUAACUACGUGCCAGCAGCCGCGGUAAUACGUAGGGGGCGAGCGUUGUCCGGAAUCACUGGGCGUAAAGGGCGCGUAGGCGGUUUAAUAAGUCAGUGGUGAAAACUGAGGGCUCAACCCUCAGCCUGCCACUGAUACUGUUAGACUUGAGUAUGGAAGAGGAGAAUGGAAUUCCUAGUGUAGCGGUGAAAUGCGUAGAUAUUAGGAGGAACACCAGUGGCGAAGGCGAUUCUCUGGGCCAAGACUGACGCUGAGGCGCGAAAGCGUGGGGAGCAAACAGGAUUAGAUACCCUGGUAGUCCACGCCGUAAACGAUGGAUACUAGGUGUUAGUAGUUUCGAUGCUACUAGUGCCGGAGUAAACACAAUAAGUAUCCCGCCUGGGGAGUACGGUCGCAAGACUGAAACUCAAAGGAAUUGACGGGGGCCCGCACAAGCGGUGGAGCAUGUGGUUUAAUUCGACGCAACGCGAAGAACCUUACCAAGACUUGACAUCCUCCUGACAAGAUAUGUAAUGUAUCUCUUUUCUUCGGAGACAGGAGAGACAGGUGGUGCAUGGUUGUCGUCAGCUCGUGUCGUGAGAUGUUGGGUUAAGUCCCGCAACGAGCGCAACCCUUAUUUCUAGUUGCCAGCAGUAAGAUGGGGACUCUAGAGAGACUGCCAGUGACAAACUGGAGGAAGGUGGGGAUGACGUCAAAUCAUCAUGCCCCUUAUGUCUUGGGCUACACACGUGCUACAAUGGUCAGAACAGAGGGAAGCGAAGCCGCGAGGUGGAGCAAAUCCCAGAAAACUGAUCUCAGUUCGGAUUGCAGGCUGCAACCCGCCUGCAUGAAGUCGGAAUCGCUA